rnacentral:rRNA from 1 species
CACAAGCGAUGGAGCAUGUGGUUUAAUUCGACGCAACGCGAAGAACCUUACCUGGGUUUGACAUCCCGAUCGUACUCUAUGGAAACAUAGGGGUCAGUUCGGCUGGAUCGGUGACAGGUGCUGCAUGGCUGUCGUCAGCUCGUGUCGUGAGAUGUUGGGUUAAGUCCCGCAACGAGCGCAACCCUUAUCCCCAGUUGCCAUCAGGUAAAGCUGGGGACUCUGGGGAGACUGCCGGUGAUAAACCGGAGGAAGGCGGGGAUGACGUCAAGUCCUCAUGGCCCUUACAUCCCGGGCUACACACGUGCUACAAUGGCAGGUACAGAGGGCUGCGAAGCCGCGAGGUGGAGCGAAUCCCAGAAAAUCAUCCGUAGUUCGGAUUGGAGUCUGAAACCCGACUCCAUGAAGGUGGAAUCGCUAGUAAUCGCGCAUCAGUAUGGCGCGGUGAAUGCGUUCCCGGGCCUU